GAACUGCGCAAACGUUAUUCGGAAUCACUGGGCUUAAAGGGUGCGUAGGCGGCUUGUCAAGUAGGGUGUGAAAUCUCUCGGCUCAACCGAGAAACUGCGCUCUAAACUGACUCGCUUGAGUGCGAUAGGGGUGUGCGGAACUUCUGGUGGAGCGGUGAAAUGUGUUGAGAUCAGAAGGAACGCCGGUGGCGAAAGCGGCACACUGGGUCGUAACUGACGCUGAGGCACGAAAGCUAGGGGUAGCGAACGGGAUUAGAUACCCCGGUAGUCCUAGCUGUAAACGAUGAGCACUAGACGGGAGAGGGUUCGCCCUUUUCGGUCGUAGCGAAAGCGUUAAGUGCUCCGCCUGGGGAGUAUGGUCGCAAGGCUG
rnacentral:rRNA from 1 species